UCGAGAAUCUUCCGCAAUGCGCGCAAGCGUGACGGAGCGACGCCGCGUGGGUGAUGAAGGCCUUCGGGUUGUAAAACCCUGUUAGCUACUAUGAACCGCAGGUGGUGAAUAGCCAUCCUGCCUGACGUAAGUAGCAGAGGAAGCACCGGCUAACUACGUGCCAGCAGCCGCGGUAAUACGUAGGGUGCGAACGUUGUUCGGAAUCACUGGGCAUAAAGGGCGCGUAGGCGGUCCAUUAAGUCCUUUGUGAAAGCCCCCGGCUCAACCGGGGAAUAGCAGGGGAUACUGUUGGGCUAGAGUGCAGGAGGGGAGAGCGGAAUUCCUGGUGGAGCGGUGAAAUGCGUAGAUAUCAGGAGGAACGCCGGUGGCGAAAGCGGCUCUCUGGUCUGUUACUGACGCUGAGGCGCGAAAGCUAGGGGAGCAAACGG
rnacentral:rRNA from 1 species